rnacentral:rRNA from 1 species
CCUACGGGGAGCAGCAGUGGGGGAUAUUGCACAAUGGGGGAAACCCUGAUGCAGCGACGCCGCGUGGGUGAAGAAGCGCCUCGGCGCGUAAAGCCCUGUCAGCAGGGAAGAAAAUGACGGUACCUGAAGAAGAAGCCCCGGCUAACUACGGGCCAGCGACCGCGGUAAUACGUAGGGGGCAAGCGUUAUCGGGAUUUACUGGGUGUAAUGGGGGCGCAGACGGCGAUGCAAGCCAGGAGUGAAAGCCCGGGGCCCAACCCCGGGACUGCUCUUGGAACUGCGUGGCUGGAGUGCAGGAGGGGCAGGCGGAAUUCCUGGUGUAGCGGUGAAAGGCGUAGAUAUCAGGAGGAACACCGGUGGCGAAGGCGGACUGCUGGACUGCAACUGACGUUGAGGCCCGAAAGCGUGGGGAGCAAACAGGAUUAGAUACCCUAGUAGUC